rnacentral:rRNA from 1 species
AGCGAACGCUGGCGGCAGGCCUAACACAUGCAAGUCGAACGAACUCUUCGGAGUUAGUGGCGGACGGGUGAGUAACACGUGGGAACGUGCCUUUAGGUCCGGAAUAACUCAGGGAAACUUGUGCUAAUACCGAAUGUGCCCUUCGGGGGAAAGAUUUAUCGCCUUUAGAGCGGCCCGCGUCUGAUUAGCUAGUUGGUGAGGUAAAGGCUCACCAAGGCGACGAUCAGUAGCUGGUCUGCGAGGAUGACCAGCCACAUUGGGACUGAGACACGGCCCAAACUCCUACGGGAGGCAGCAGUGGGGAAUCUUGCGCAAUGGGCGAAAGCCUGACGCAGCCAUGCCGCGUGAAUGAUGAAGGUCUUAGGAUUGUAAAAUUCUUUCACCGGGGACGAUAAUGACGGUACCCGGAGAAGAAGCCCCGGCUAACUUCGUGCCAGCAGCCGCCGUAACAC